AGACCGAUUUUUGACACUUUCAUUUGAAAUGAGCAGGGUUUGACUGUGACCAACGUUCAAGGCCUCAUGGGUGUCCAUCUACAAGAUCUGAAGUUGUUUGAGAACGUUACCGUGGUUAAGACUUGGAGAAACAUGCAAACACAGUCAGACCUGGAUCGAGCAGGUGUGGGCCUAACCACCAACAGAACCGACCCGACCACGGCACCACCCAGCUCCAACGACAGCACAAAAGCUGCUGCAUCAACUGCAGCCAGCACAGUGAAAACAAGGAAAACCAGGUGGCUCGAGUGCAACCCUGGCGCCGACCGUGCAAACAACACAAGAUCAGCAGCUGUGCAGGUUUUGAGUGGUUCAAAACUUAAACAAACUUCAAGAAUACACCUCUGAAGAACUUCUGUUACCUCUGAUUCACGAAGAGUCAUGUUCAUUCCAUUUGACAACUGGUUGAAGAUUUCUAUUGAGAAAGAAAAAAUUAAUUCUUAUUACAUUACUCCAGAAACUGUAAAGGCAAGGAGACGUGUACGUCACACGCCAUGACAGAAGUUCAGAAUGUCCCUUGUUCGCACGACCACGUCAUCUUUACCAGUAGUUGCUGCACUCCUGUGUUUUCUCAUGUUAAAACAAUGGUGUGCCGCCGGUAGAAUACACUAAGUUACCAAAGCCCACCCAGUUGUGCAUUGGAGAGACCUUCUGUCGGGAAGGGUUGGCGCCGAAAUCGUCAGCAAAAUUCAAGGAACAGCAAGAGACCUAAUUAUGUCUAACCCUGAAAUGUUCAGGAAUAUUUCCUGCAUGGGCUCAUGUGUGAAUGACAGCAAUAAUCGAUACUCCGGGAUCUUUACCGUCAAUUUCCCACCACAAGACCCAAGGAACAUCUCAUCUCAGGGAAAAUGCCAGUACGGCUGUGUUCUGAACGAAAGUUCAGGACAAGCACGUCCAUCUGACGAAAGACACCUGUGGGGCGAGCAAACCCAUGACAGGACUCUGCUGAUGACGUAUUUGAGUCGGUUUAACAUAACAUAACGUAAAAAACAGUUCCUCGCCUGUCAUGUUCCUGAAAAGGAUUGAACACAUCAUCCUCAAAGUCAAGAAUAAAAUUUCAAGAAAAGCAUUUAGGUACUUUUUCUGUGCAGUUGCCCUAAUGUACUUACGGUUCAUGCACUCGAAGCGAAGGAUGAGAGAGAUGAAGCUCUCCAGUGUUAUGUGUCCAGAGGAGGACCCGUAGCGCAGGGCCAGCAAGUUCAGCAUGUCAUCGUUGAUCCUCUUACCUGAACAACAUACAUAGGACAAAAGUUUAGGUUGGUUUAAGUAGUUAAAUGUUCAUCAUCCAUGUCAGUCGCACACAAAAGCAGGGGAUU
rnacentral:lncRNA from 1 species